rnacentral:lncRNA from 1 species
AUAGAGAUCAUUCUCUCACAAUAUUGCCUAAUGUCAUUUGUAACAAAUCAUUCACUAGUACUCACUAAAGAAGAGUUUGAACCUAUGUACAUUUGUAAACCCUUCACAAUUAAUGAGAACUCCUCUACUCCGUGGACGUAGCCAAUCUGGGUGAACCACGUACAUCUUGUGUUUGCUUCCCUGUCCUUAUCCAUUUACAUACUUAUUCACACUAGUGACUGAAGUAAUCUAGUGAAUGUCACAAACUUAACACUUUCUGUUGUACCAAAGUCCUCACUGAUUUUGUGCAUCAACAUUUGGCGCUGUCUGUGGGAACGACACUUAUUCCCACUCUCUUCAGCUUUGUUAAGCUGGUUUCCACCAUUCGUACACUCUCUUUUGACCAGGUAUCCCUUUCCAACA